rnacentral:rRNA from 1 species
CGGGCAAGCCGCUGGCGGCGUGCUUAAACAUGCAAGUCCGGGGGCCCGCAAGGGUAACCGGCGAACGGGUGCGUAACACGUGAGCAAUCUGCCGUCCACUGGGGGAUAGCCGGCCCAACGGCCGGGUAAUACCGCAUACGCUUGCCGGGUGGCAUCACCUGGCAAGGAAACCUCCGGGGGUGGACGAGGAGCUCGCGGCCUAUCAGCUAGUUGGUGGGGUCACGGCCCACCAAGGCGAUGACGGGUAGCUGGUCUGAGAGGAUGGCCAGCCACAUUGGGACUGAGAUACGGCCCAGACUCCUACGGGAGGCAGCAGUGGGGAAUAUUGCGCAAUGGCCGCAAGGCUGACGCAGCGACGCCGCGUGGGGGAUGAAGCAUUUCGGUGUGUAAACCCCUGUUGCCCGGGACGAACCACCCCUUUCGAGGGGACUGACGGUACCGGGUGAGGAAGCACCGGCUAACUCCGUGCCAGCAGCCGCGGUAAUACGGAGGGUGCGAGCGUUGUCCGGAAUCACUGGGCGUAAAGGGCGCGUAGGCGGUGACUUAAGCGUGUGGUGAAAGCCCGGGGCUCAACCCCGGGUCGGCCGUGCGAACUGGGUCACUCGAGCACUGUAGAGGCAGGUGGAAUUCCGGGUGUAGCGGUGGAAUGCGUAGAGAUCCGGAAGAACACCAGUGGCGAAGGCGGCCUGCUGGGCAGUAGCUGACGCUGAGGCGCGACAGCGUGGGGAGCAAACAGGAUUAGAUACCCUGGUAGUCCACGCCGUAAACGAUGGGCACUAGGUGCUUGGGG